rnacentral:rRNA from 1 species
UAAGGAAUCUUCCACAAUGGACGAAAGUCUGAUGGAGCAACACCGCGUGCAGGAUGACGGCCUUCGGGUUGUAAACUGCUUUUAUAUGGGAAGAUUAUGACGGUACCAUAUGAAUAAGCACCGGCUAACUACGUGCCAGCAGCCGCGGUAAUACGUAGGGUGCAAGCGUUAUCCGGAAUCACUGGGCGUAAAGCGUGUGUAGGCGGAUCUUUAAGUGUGAUGUUAAAUCGUGUGGCUCAACCAUAUCGAU